rnacentral:misc_RNA from 1 species
AUUAAAAAUUAUUAUUUUAUAUUUAAAUUAUAAAAAAUUAAUAUAUUUGGUAUUGUUCUGUAAAAUGGUAAAGUAAAAUUGAAGGAUAUAGAAAAGGCUUUGUUCAGUUUCUUAGGAGAAGCAAAAUACUCAUGGGAUCCUUCAUAUAAAGCAAAAACCUCCAUUCAAAAGAGAGCUCAUUAAGCUGAAUUUGGCAGACUUGAUACUUAAGGCAAUAAACCAAUUUCAAACCAAAAAGGUUUAAUUUUGUUUGAACAAAUCGUAUUUCCCUUGGUGUAUAUUCUUUGUCAAACCUGUACCUAGACGUAGCGAAAGACAAGUGGCAGGACUGGAGUUGGGGGCAGGCAGUGGGUAAGGGACAGAUGCGGGGGAGCGGCGGCGAGGA